rnacentral:rRNA from 1 species
AACACUUUUGAUGAUCCUUCGGGUGAUUCAUUUGUGACUGAGCGGCGGACGGGUGAGUAACGCGUGAGCAACCUGCCUCAUACAGGGGAAUAACAGUUAGAAAUGACUGCUAAUGCCGCAUAAGCGCACAGGACCACAUGGUCUGGUGUGAAAAACUCCGGUGGUAUGAGAUGGACUCGCGUCUGAUUAGCUGGUUGGUGAGGUAACGGCCCACCAAGGCGACGAUCAGUAGCCGGCCUGAGAGGGUGAACGGCCACAUUGGGACUGAGACACGGCCCAAACUCCUACGGGAGGCAGCAGUGGGGAAUAUUGCACAAUGGGGGAAACCCUGAUGCAGCGACGCCGCGUGAGUGAAGAAGUAUUUCGGUAUGUAAAGCUCUAUCAGCAGGGAAGAAAAUGACGGUACCUGACUAAGAAGCCCCGGCUAACUACGUGCCAGCAGCCGCGGUAAUACGUAGGGGGCAAGCGUUAUCCGGAUUUACUGGGUGUAAAGGGAGCGUAGACGGCUUUGCAAGUCUGACGUGAAAAUCCGGGGCUCAACCCCGGAACUGCGUUGGAAACUGUGAGGCUUGAGUGCCGGAGAGGUAAGCGGAAUUCCUAGUGUAGCGGUGAAAUGCGUAGAUAUUAGGAGGAACACCAGUGGCGAAGGCGGCUUACUGGACGGCAACUGACGUUGAGGCUCGAAAGCG